CAGCGUGUAUUCCAGAGUCAUUGUGUCGGGGCCCAGGCCCACAGCCCUGGCUGGCCAAGGGCUGGAAGGAAGCCAUGGCAGAGGCGUCGGACCCGCUUAACUGGAGGAGGGACAGAGGGUGCAAGGGACGCUGAGCAUGUGGCCCCAUGGAGCAAGAGGCCGAUGGUGCAAAACCCAGGGGUGGUACAACACCUGAGGAGCAUCCACAGCAUCCAGCCAGACCUCCAGUGAGCUCCCACUCGCAGGAACAUGUACAUCUCCUCAAGAAGCCUCCUCCGUGGCUUCCGGAAGCUUAUCUCCAUCAUCCUCACGAUCCUCUUUUGCGACCUCCUCCUCCGCAUCUCGUUUGUCCUGCUCUUCUUCCUGCUGCUCCCGUUUUUCAUCAUCUAUGACCAUGUGGUCCCCUCUGUCAUCCUGGUAGUCAAGUCGUUGCGGCCGAUCAUAGACAGCUUCUUUGGCCGGUUCUUGCCCUCUCUGUUUGCAUUUGCGUUGUCCCUUUUCCCGCCUGUGGCCAUCUUCUUCUUCACAAAGUACGUCUUAGUGCCUGGCUCCAUCUACAUCUUCCGUAUCACCUGGUGAACAUUUCCCAAUCCAUCCAUUCCAAUACAUCAGCCAAGAAUUUUCA